rfam:Streptomyces griseoaurantiacus M045 Contig028, whole genome shotgun sequence.
GCGCCCGUACUCCAAUUGGCAAGAGAGGCUGGCCUUAGGAGCCAGAUGUUGUCGGUUCGAGUCCGACCGGGCGCA